CGCGCCGUCAUUAGGGAGUAGCCGCCUCCGAGCCCCUCGGAGGGACCACGUCAACAAACUUGCCCAUCCGGGCAUGGCGUGUUCAGUCCUCGGACCUGGCGAGACUUUUGACCGCAUGCUCUCCGUUUGUUCGGGCCGGGGAGGCGUGCGGUCAUCGGUCAUGCGCCGGCCCGGAGAACC
rnacentral:sRNA from 2 species